CAGUCGCUGAAUAUAAAAUGCGCUACAUGACUAUUGAUUCAAAUCAUUUUUGAUUUGAACACCAAAGCGACAACAUGUCUGUACCAGCAAAUAAAUUUCAAGUUCCACAGACUGAGAAUUGGGACUUAGAAAUAAGCCAGUCCGAGAUGAAAAAAAAUACCAGCAUCGGGGUGGUAACUCCAAAAACGAAAACCGAAGACUGGGAAGCUGAAAUUGCGGUGGCGAAACGUCCUCCAUUCUUUCUCAGCGUGGGCAAAAUAACACAGCGACGUAUAAACCGAAUGCACCGAUGCUGGACCUGUCACUGCGUGCCUGUCAAUUGUCGAUGUGCAAAAUAUUGAAUAAACUUGUUGAAACGUUAA